rnacentral:lncRNA from 1 species
AGGAGAGAAGCGGAGCUGGCUCGGCGGCGGGCGGGGAGGGAAAGGCCGGGGAGGGAGGGGAGAAGUGAGGAAGAGGAGGGAAGGCGUGUGUGCGUGUGCGUGCAGGGGGAGGAUGGGGGGGGGGCGAAAUCAAAUAAAUAAAUAACCUCCGCACCAAUAAGAGAGCCAGCGGCUGCCGAGCAGGCUGGGAUCGGAUGGGAGAGGUCUUUCCGUGGCCGUAUUUGUUUGUUUGUGACUGGAACCGCAAAGUUCGGAGCCGAACGUGUUUCUCGCCACCAGCCGCCCCGCUCCACCUGCUCCGCUGAGGGGCUGCCGGCCCCUGCCCCUUCUCGCCCGCCGUGGGGCGGAGGGAGCGCGGGGCCGCGGCUCCGGCCGCCUGCCUUUCCCCCGCCAGAGGGGGACGGAGCGGCGACGGCAGGUUUAUCUCUAGAAAAGCAGAACAUUCAUCACAGGAUCAGAAUACACUCUGGAUUGUCUUCCCAUGUGCAGACUACACCAACUGAAGUCUUGAAUCCACUUAACGCCUUUUUUAAUGCUUCAAGCUUUAAAAUGAGCAUAUGGAAAGACCACCUCUGACAACAAAAUGCAGAAGAGGAAGCAAUUAACGAGCAACUUAACAAUUGAUAAGCCAAGGUAAGAAAACUUGUUUUUUUUAUUUCCUCUUAAGAAUUUGAUAUUUCCAGACUGUUUAUCUCUGG